UUGAUUGGUGCUUGCAUCAUGAUUUACAUUUGAGUGAGUGGCGAACUGGUGAGUAACACGUGGGAAACCUGCCCAGAAGCGGGGGAUAACACCUGGAAACAGAUGCUAAUACCGCAUAACAACUUGGACCGCAUGGUCCGAGUUUGAAAGAUGGCUUCGGCUAUCACUUUUGGAUGGUCCCGCGGCGUAUUAGCUAGAUGGUGAGGUAACGGCUCACCAUGGCAAUGAUACGUAGCCGACCUGAGAGGGUAAUCGGCCACAUUGGGACUGAGACACGGCCCAAACUCCUACGGGAGGCAGCAGUAGGGAAUCUUCCACAAUGGACGAAAGUCUGAUGGAGCAACGCCGCGUGAGUGAAGAAGGGUUUCGGCUCGUAAAACUCUGUUGUUAAAGAAGAACAUAUCUGANAGUAACUGUUCAGGUAUUGACGGUAUUUAACCAGAAAGCCACGGCUAACUACGUGCCANCAGCCGCGGUAAUACGUAGGUGGCAAGCGUUGUCCGGAUUUAUUGNGCGUAAAGCGAGCGCAGGCGGUUUUUUAAGUCUGAUGUGAAAGCCUUCGGCUCAACCGAAGAAGUGCAUCGGAAACUGGGAAACUUGAGUGCAGAAGAGGACAGUGGAACUCCAUGUGUAGCGGUGAAAUGCGUAGAUAUAUGGAAGAACACCAGUGGCGAAGGCGGCUGUCUGGUCUGUAACUGACGCUGAGGCUCGAAAGUAUGGGUAGCAAACAGGAUUAGAUACCCUGGUAGUCCAUACCGUAAACGAUGAAUGCUAAGUGUUGGAGGGUUUCCGCCCUUCAGUGCUGCAGCUAACGCAUUAAGCAUUCCGCCUGGGGAGUACGGCCGCAAGGCUGAAACUCAAAGGAAUUGNCGGGGGCCCGCACAAGCGGUGGAGCAUGUGGUUUAAUUNGAAGCUACGCGAAGAACCUUACCAGGUCUUGACAUACUAUGCAAAUNUAAGAGAUUAGACGUUCCCUUCGGGGACAUGGAUACAGGUGGUGCAUGGUUGUCGUCAGCUCGUGUCGUGAGAUGUUGGGUUAAGUCCCGCAACGAGCGCAACCCUUAUUAUCAGUUGCCAGCAUUAAGUUGGGCACUCUGGUGAGACUGCCGGUGACAAACCGGAGGAAGGUGGGGAUGACGUCAAAUCAUCAUGCCCCUUAUGACCUGGGCUACACACGUGCUACAAUGGAUGGUACAACGAGUUGCGAACUCGCGAGAGUAAGCUAAUCUCUUAAAGCCAUUCUCAGUUCGGAUUGUAGGCUGCAACUCGCCUACAUGAAGUCGGAAUCGCUAGUAAUCGCGGAUCAGCAUGCCGCGGUGAAUACGUUCCCGGGCCUUGUACACACCGCCCGUCACACCAUGAGAGUUUGUAACACCCAAAGUCGG
rnacentral:rRNA from 1 species